CCUACGGGGGGCAGCAGUGAGGAAUAUUGGUCAAUGGGCGUAAGCCUGAACCAGCCAAGUCGCGUGAGGGAUGAAGGUUCUAUGGAUCGUAAACCUCUUUUAUAAGGGAAUAAAGUGCGGGAGCAAUAAUGGUCACGUGUGGCCAGACGAGAGUACCGUACGAAUAAGCAUCGGCUAACUCCGUGCCAGCAGCCGCGGUAAUACGGGGGAUGCAAGCGUUAUCCGGAUUUAUUGGGUUAAAAGGGUGCGUAGGCGGAUUUUUAAGUCAGCGGUAAAAUGUCCGGGCUCAACCCGGGCCGGCCGUUGAAACUGGGGAUCUUGAGUGGGCGAGAAGUAUGCGGAAUGCGUGGUGUAGCGGUGAAAUGCAUAGAUAUCACGCAGAACUCCGAUUGCGAAGGCAGCAUACCGGCGCCCGACUGACGCUGAGGCACGAAAGCGUGGGGAUCGAACAGGAUUAGAUACCCCUGUAGUC
rnacentral:rRNA from 1 species